rnacentral:rRNA from 1 species
UACGAAGGGUGCAAACGUUGCUCGGAAUUAUUGGGCGUAAAGCGCACGUAGGCGGCUUUGCAAGUCCCAUGCGAAAUCCCACGGCUCAACCGUGGAAGUGCAUGGGAAACUGCAGAGCUUGAGUACUUAAGAGGAUCGCGGAAUUCCCGGUGUAGAGGUGAAAUUCGUAGAUAUCGGGAGGAACACCAGUGGCGAAGGCGGCGAUCUGGGAAGAUACUGACGCUGAGGUGCGAAAGCGUGGGGAGCAAACAGG